GCCAAGAAAAGUGCCAAGUAUGAAGAUGGGAAAGAUAAGAGAGAGGAGCUUGAUCAGGUUUCCUAUAGAGAACCAGUGCUUGCCAGGAGGCGCUACGAGUUUCAGUAUGCAACUAAAAUAUUCUGACACCAUCCGGUAGGGAGGAUACGAAGAUGGCACAGCAUAUUUCACGAUAACACACGCGCGCCUACAUCGACGUUUGCUUGGCCUGAUGCGGCUAGCGACGUUCUGUCCAUGGGCAUGCACGUCGAGUUGAGCGCAUGCGCUGCUACGUCCCAGCACGUCGGUUCCCCAUCAUGUGAGGAGCCGUGAAAUGUGCGUCUCGGGACGGUUGGUGAAUUUCCUGACACGAAAUUACGGUAUGUGCUAGUGAAAACUGUGUCCAUCGCUUACUAGGCUGUACGUUACGGCGCUGCUGUUGACUCGCGAAGCUUCAGCACUGGUUGCCCAUAAGGAUAACAGUAUGCCUUGAGGGGACCAGACGAUCGGCCUUUUACUGAAACAAAGGUCCUGGGAGCCUGGCCUCACUGCUUAUCAGCCCUGAAAGUCGCACGAGCUCUUCUACAGUACAUGAAGGCGACAGACUUGAGUGCCCGACUGCAGUUCGGACGGUCUUCCGAACAAGACAAGAGAAACCGAGAGGAAGAGAAACUCACCCCCGGUAACUUCACGAUGCACCAAUCUGUCAACAAGUUCAACGAAAAUGCCGAAUAUGUAUCUGCCGAAAGCGCUUUAUUUAGAGCAUUGCCGCGAACAUGCUUUGACCCCUCAGUACAGCAGGUGUUCUGGUAUGGACGCCGACCAAUUGCAGUCAACGCGUCAAGAAUCUGGGUUCUAAGUUGAAAUAUAAAUGAUCCAGAACAAAAAUAAAGCGAUGAGCGCCUCCUGACUUUUUGCUGACUCUGUAUAACGAUGCUACUACUGCCGACGUGCCACUACUGCUGCUAUCAUCAAUCCUAUCUCAACAGAUGCUCGCGCCACCGCAAAAGGCGCCCUCGUCAGGGCUCGAGUUACAUCUGCACGGUGCCUAUCGGGUGAGUGCCGGUAAUAAAAGUGCCAUCAAAAAAAGAAGGAGCGGAAGCGAUGAUUCGCCGUUAGCCACGGAAGAAGGCAAGCGAGCCUCGUAAUUGUGCCGAUGGCCAGGCAACUAUCUCGGUGACCGGCGCUGGCCCGCGAGCUUUGCUGGAAUUGCGAUGUGUAAUUGCACACCGGCCCGCACACGCAUGCCGUAAGGUACACGUGAUCCCAGCAGAGAGGCAGAAACCGAACGAAAGAGAGAGGGAUCCCUUCGAUUGCUUCCUAUCAUAA